GUGCCAGCAGCCGCGGUAAAACGUAGGAGGCGAGCGUUAUCCGGAUUUACUGGGCGUAAAGCGCACGCAGGCGGCUCUGUAAGUUGGACGUGAAAGCUCCCGGCUUAACCGGGCGAGGUCGUUCGAUACUGCAGGGCUUGAGGUUGGGAGAGGGGUGCGGAAUUCCCGGUGUAGUGGUGGAAUGCGUAGAUAUCGGGAGGAACACCAGUGGCGCAAGCGGCGCCCUGGCCCACACCUGACGCUGAGGUGCGAAAGCGUGGGUAGCAAACAGGAUUAGAUACCCCCGUAGUCC
rnacentral:rRNA from 1 species